AGGACGAACGCUGGCGGCGUGCCUAACACAUGCAAGUCGAACGCGCUCCAUUCGGUAGCAAUACUGAUGAAGAGCGAGUGGCGAACGGGUGAGUAGCACGUGAGCAACCUGCCCCGAAGACUGGGACAACACCGGGAAACCGGUGCUAAUACCGGAUAUCCCUAUCGGAUCGCAUGAUCUGAUAAGGAAAUGUUUUUCGCUUCGGGAGGGGCUCGCGGCCUAUCAGCUAGUUGGUGGGGUAAUGGCCUACCAAGGCAUCGACGGGUAGCUGGUCUGAGAGGACGAUCAGCCACACUGGGACUGAGACACGGCCCAGACUCCUACGGGAGGCAGCAGUGGGGAAUCUUGCGCAAUGGGCGAAAGCCUGACGCAGCAACGCCGCGUGGAGGACGAAGGCUUUCUGAGUUGUAAACUCCUUUCAGCAGGGACGAUUGUGACGGUACCUGCAGAGAAGCACCGGCAACUACGUGCCAGCAGCCGA
rnacentral:rRNA from 1 species